rnacentral:rRNA from 1 species
CCUACGGGAGGCAGCAGUGAGGAAUAUUGGUCAAUGGGCGAGAGCCUGAACCAGCCAAGUCGCGUGAGGGAAGACGGUCCUAUGGAUUGUAAACCUCUUUUGCCGGGGAGCAAAAAGCGGUACGUGUACCGCAUCGAGAGUACCCGGAGAAAAAGCAUCGGCUCACUCCGUGCCAGCAGCCGCGGUAAUACGGAGGAUGCGAGCGUUAUCCGGAUUUAUUGGGUUUAAAGGGUGCGUAGGCGGGGGGAUAAGUUAGCGGUGAAAUCUCGGGGCUCAACCCCGGACAAGCCGUGGAAACUGGCUUGCUAGAGUGUGCGAGAAGUAGGCGGAAUGCGUGGUGUAGCGGUGAAAUGCAUAGAGAUCACGCAGAACUCCGAUUGCGAAGGCAGCAUACCGGCGCCCAACUGACGUUCAGGCACGAAAGCGUGGGUAUCGAACAGGAUUAGAUACCCGAGUAGUC